UGGCUACAUCACGUUGAAACACCAGUUCCCGUACGAUCAACGAAGUUAAGCAACGGUGACCCUGGUCAAUACCUAGAUGAGUGACCUCUUGGGAACAUCAAGUGUUAUAA